GCCGAGGUGGCGAAAUUGGUAGACGCACCUGCCUUAGGAGCAGGCCCCGCAAGGGAUGGAGGUUCGAGUCCUCUCCUCGGCA
rnacentral:tRNA from 1 species